GAUGAACGCUAGCUACAGGCUUAACACAUGCAAGUCGAGGGGUAACGAGAGGAAAGCUCGCUUUCCUUGUCGACGACCGGCGCACGGGUGAGUAACGCGUAUCCAACCUGCCCCCAACUAGGGAAUAACCUUGCGAAAGUAAGACUAAUACCCUAUAAUUUCCUCAGAUGCCAUCUGACGAGGAAUAAAGAUUUGUCGGUUGUGGAUGGGGAUGCGUCUGAUUAGCUUGUUGGCGGGGUAGCGGACCACCAAGGCAACGAUCAGUAGGGGUUCUGAGAGGAAGGGCCGCCACAUUGGAACUGGGACACGGUCCAAACUCCUACGGGAGGCAGCAGUGAGGAAUAUUGGUCAAUGGGCGGAAGGCUGAACCAGCCAAGUAGCGUGCAGGAAGACGGCCCUAUGGGUUGUAAACUGCUUUUAUACAGGAAUAAAGUUAGCCACGUGUGGUUAUUUGUAGGUACUGUAUGAAUAAGGACCGGCUAAUUCCGUGCCAGCAGCCGCCGCAGUAA
rnacentral:rRNA from 1 species